rnacentral:rRNA from 1 species
UCCUACGGGGGGCAGCAGUGAGGAAUAUUGGUCAAUGGGCUUACGCCUGAACCAGCCAAGUCGCGUGAGGGAAGACUGCCCUAUGGGUUGUAAACCUCUUUUGUCAGGGAGCAACGCCGGCUACGUGUAGCCGGACUGAGAGUACCUGAAGAAAAAGCAUCGGCUAACUCCGUGCCAGCAGCCGCGGUAAUACGUAGGUGGCAAGCGUUAUCCGGAAUGAUUGGGCGUAAAGGGUGCGCAGGCGGCGUGGCAAGUCUGAAGUGAAAGGUACGGGCUCAACCUGUACAGGCUUUGGAAACUGCCAC